rnacentral:rRNA from 1 species
GCUAAUUGACAACUCUAUAAUUAGUGAAGCCUGCCCGCUGACAGUAGAUAACAAUGACUGUUGAAGGGCCGCGGUAACUCUGACCGUGCUAAGGUAGCAUAAUCACUUGCCCUUUAAUUAAGGGCUAGAAUGAAAGGCUUAACGAGCCCCUCCCUGUCUCAGCCGUAAAGUUAGCGAAAUUUCAUGGCCUGUUAAGAUUCAGGCCGCUCUUGGUUAGACGAGAAGACCCCGUUGAGCUUGACUUUGAUCUUUCUUCAUCACUGGCUUGAUAAGCCCAUACUUAUAGAAAGGGAAAAAGUUUGGUUGGGGCGACCCCCCGAACACACGUAACUCGGGGAAGCUAAGGUUAGACUAAAACAGUAAGCUUGACUGAUAGGAUGACAAUCCAGUUAGAUAGCGAUUACUGCUAGGCGUUAGACUCCCACAGGUAAUAGUCUGUGAUUAUGAAUAAAAGUUACCACGGGGAUAACAGGGUAAUCUUUUCUUAGAGUUCUUAUCGAAGAAAAGGUUUGCCACCUCGAUGUUGAAUAAUAGCGUCCUCGAGGUGCAGAAGCUUCGAAGGGUUGGUC